UAGGAGUACUAUUACUGCUAUACGUCAUUCUAGUAUAUGUACUUUGAAGUUAGAUAUGAUUGUGAUUAAUUUUCUCUUUGUGAUUUACUACAAAUUUAGGGGCAUAGAAAUUGCAAUAUUGUUGUUUGAUAAAAUUCUUUUGAAAUAUUUACUGAUUCGAGCAUUGUGAUAUCAAGGUAUGUUAAGAAUAGUCAGGCAAACAAUACUAUAGGUGUUUCAGAUGACAUGAGAAAAGUUGGUGUUAUUAGAGAUGGAACUACCAACUUUCUUUCCUCACUUCAUGUGACGUUCUCAUGGAAUUGAAGCUGAUCGAAGCAUUUCAUGGGUAUGUUAGUAAGAAUAUCGGUAAACUGUGUAAUGAGUUUUGAUGCAUUCCCAUUCCCUGAUUUCCAUGUAUUGAAAUUGUGAGUCUAUAUCUAGUUCAAGGAAAUUAAUUGGUAGGUUAUAAGUGAAGAAUAUUAUGUCAUGGAAUUAUAUGAUUUUCGGCAAUGAAAAACAUGGCAAUGCUUUUGAAAUUCUCAAACUUUUGAAUUACAAAUAAAGUGACUAUCAUAUCUAUUUGUGGCGCUUGUAAUCCAAUCUUAACUCACUAGAUUAUUUAUUUAAUCUCUCAUAUUAAUUCAAGAUUGUCAUACAAUUGUUAUGGAAUCUUGGAAAGGCCAUAUACAUCAAGAUAUGGCGAGGGAAGUCUUUAUACUGGUGCAUAUUCUUUAGAGCCUGGUUCCUUCCAAUCUCAUGGAGGGAGUUUCUACUCACUUGAAAGUUGUUUUGGAUGACUUUGGACAUGAUACUUUGUUAGUUAAUGCCUUACUUCGAUCAUGAAUUCCCAAGGAAAUAUUUGAAGGAUGGUGUAAUGAUCCCACUAUGAAUCAUGUUGGUGAAGAUGGGGAUGUCCAUAUUGAAGAUGAACAAGUGGAGGAGUACACAAAGAAGGUUGUAACUAAAAUGGAGGUUGCUCGAGAAGCAUUACAAACCAUGGUGUAUAUUCAACAUCAAGGAUAGUAGAAAAUGGUUAUUUCUUAUUUGUGAACGCACCAUUAUGUAGGGUGUGUCCAAUUUUGUUUCAAAUCAGUUGAGGGAAAGGAGAGGGAUUCAUUCACGUUUAUGCAUUGGGUUGGUUAGGAGAGUAUUCUUGGGAAUAUGAGUUGAGGCUUUGGAAUAUUAAUCUUUUAUGAGCAUCAUUGCAUUUGUCUUUGAUUCCAUGAUACAAAUACAACAUAUUUCACUCCACUGUUUCUUGUUUUAUUCUUUAUUAAUUUUGCUACCAUUGUUAUUGUCGUCAACUUCUUGAAACAAAGAAGCAAUUCCUUUAUCCCGCACAUAACCAAUAAGCUUUGUUUAAUGAUUUUCAUGGUUUUCGACAAUUAUGUCGGCUUCUUUCGGUG
rnacentral:lncRNA from 1 species